rnacentral:rRNA from 1 species
GUCUACGGCCAUACCACCCUGAAUGUGCCCAAUCUCGUCUGAUCUAGGAGGCUAAGCAGGGUUGGGCCUGGUUAGUACUUGGAUGGGAAUAAUUUACAUUUGCUGAAAGGUUUUCAAAAACUGUGUAUU